ensembl:antisense Gm42560 predicted gene 42560
GGGAGGCAAACCAGUAAAGAACAUCCCUCUAUGGCCUCUGCGUCAGCUCCUGCUUCCUGACCUGCUUGAGUUCCAGUCCUGACUUCCUUGGUGAUGAACAGCAAGUAUGGAAGUCUAUAGGAGGUGGAGAGGAGACAAACCGAAAGAAGAAAAAGGGAAGGAGUAAGAAGAAAGAAGAAAGGAGAAGAAAAAAGGAGGAAGAGGAAAAGGGCAAACUCCAGGGUUUCCUGGGUCACCUGGCUGGAACUUCUAUGAAUAUUAAACUGGUCUCAAACUCACAGAGAUCUGCUUGCUUGGCCCCCCAAGUGCUGGAAUUAAAGAUGUACCCAAAAAUUAAAAAACAAAACCAAAGAAAAAAUAUUUAGAGCCCACCUCCAGCAGGAAGACGGGGCAUCAAAUGAGGGAGAGGGGGGCCAUCCCACAGCCACAACUCUGACCCAUAAUUGUUCCUGUUUGAAAGAAUUACAGAGAUGGAAAUGGAAAGGAGCCUGAGGAAAAGAAGGUUCAGUGACAGGCCUAAAGUGGGAUCCAGCUCAAGGGGAGGUCCCAAGGCCUGACAUUACUGAGGCUAUGGAGCGCUUACAAAAAGGGACCUAGCAUGACCACACUCCGGAAGACCCAAGAAGCAAAUGAAAGAGUCAGAUGCAGAUAUUUGCAUCCAACCAACGUACCCUGUUGUUUAAUUAGGGAAGGUUGAAAUAAGCUGAGGAGAAGGGUGAUGCUGUAGCAGGACCAGCAGUCUCAAUUAACCUGGAUCCCCGAGAUCUCUCAAACACUGGACCACCAAACAGAGCAUCCACCAGCUGAUAUGAGGCCCCAACACACAUACAGUAGAGGAUGUCCGGAUCUGUGUUCAUUCAGAGAUGAUACACCUAACCCUCAAGAGACUGGAGGCCCCUGGGAGUUUAGAGGUCAGGUGGGGUGGGGAGGGUGGGGCCAUCCAUUUGGAGACAGGGGCAUGGGGAGGAGGUGUGGAAUAUGGAGCAGUCUGAGGGUGGAUGGGGGGAGGGGAAUAAAAUAUGG